GAUUUUGGACAAUGGGGGGAACCCUGAUCCAGCAAUCCCGCGUGUGCGAUGAAGGCCUUCGGGUUGUAAAGCACUUUUAGCAGGGAAGAAACAGCGCCGGUUAAUACCCGGCGUCACUGACGGUACCUGCAGAAUAAGCACCGGCUAACUCUGUGCCAGCAGCCGCGGUAAUACAGAGGGUGCAAGCGUUAAUCGGAAUUACUGGGCGUAAAGCGCGCGUAGGUGGUUCAGUAAGAUGGGUGUGAAAUCCCAGGGCUUAACCUUGGAACUGCAUUCUUAACUGCCGGGCUAGAGUAUGUCAGAGGGGGGUAGAAUUCCGCGUGUAGCAGUGAAAUGCGUAGAGAUGCGGAGGAAUACCGAUGGCGAAGGCAGCCCCCUGGGAUAAUACUGACGCUCAUGCACGAAAGCGUGGGGAUCAAACA
rnacentral:rRNA from 1 species